CUCAUGCGCAGAGAUUCGCAAGGACCAACAUAACUCACCACAUCUUUGCACUCACUGCUAAUAGUUAAGGAUAUGUAGCUGGAUGAAAAGGGAAUUGGAAAAAGGCUGAAUGUGGAGGGAUCCAUGCACUGUCUUGCUUAUUCUCCCCCUGCCAUGAAGGGUCUCUUUUCCCGGCUACAAAGAUGAACUGCAGCCUCAUGCGAGCAAGGCUUCUGC
rnacentral:lncRNA from 1 species